GGGUUGUGAGGUUAAGCGACUAAGCGUACACGGUGGAUGCCCUGGCAGUCAGAGGCGAUGAAGGACGUGCUAAUCUGCGAAAAGCGUCGGUAAGGUGAUAUGAACCGUUACAGCCGGCGAUGUCCGAAUGGGGAAACCCAGUGCAAUUCGUUGCACUAUCGUUAACUGAAUACAUAGGUUAACGAGGCGAACCGGGGGAACUGAAACAUCUAAGUACCCCGAGGAAAAGAAAUCAACCGAGAUUCCCCCAGUAGCGGCGAGCGAACGGGGAGCAGCCCAGAGUCUGAAUCAGCUUGUGUGUUAGUGGAACGGUCUGGAAAGUCCGACGGUACAGGGUGAUAGUCCCGUACACCAAAAUGCACAGGCUGUGAACUCGAAGAGUAGGGCGGGACACGUGGUAUCCUGUCUGAAUAUGGGGGGACCAUCCUCCAAGGCUAAAUACUCCUGACUGACCGAUAGUGAACCAGUACCGUGAGGGAAAGGCGAAAAGAACCCCGGCGAGGGGAGUGAAAAAGAACCUGAAACCGUGUACGUACAAGCAGUGGGAGCACCUUAGGGUGUGACUGCGUACCUUUUGUAUAAUGGGUCAGCGACUUAUAUUCUGUAGCAAGGUUAACCGUAUAGGGGAGCCGCAGGGAAACCGAGUCUUAACUGGGCGUUAAGUUGCAGGGUAUAGACCCGAAACCCGGUGAUCUAGCCAUGGGCAGGUUGAAGGUUGGGUAACACUAACUGGAGGACCGAACCGACUAAUGUUGAAAAAUUAGCGGAUGACUUGUGGCUGGGGGUGAAAGGCCAAUCAAACCGGGAGAUAGCUGGUUCUCCCCGAAAGCUAUUUAGGUAGCGCCUCGUGAACUCAUCUUCGGGGGUAGAGCACUGUUUCGGCUAGGGGGUCAUCCCGACUUACCAACCCGAUGCAAACUACGAAUACCGAAGAAUGUUAUCACGGGAGACACACGGCGGGUGCUAACGUCCGUCGUGAAGAGGGAAACAACCCAGACCGCCAGCUAAGGUCCCAAAGUCACAGUUAAGUGGGAAACGAUGUGGGAAGGCACAGACAGCCAGGAUGUUGGCUUAGAAGCAGCCAUCAUUUAAAGAAAGCGUAAUAGCUCACUGGUCGAGUCGGCCUGCGCGGAAGAUGUAACGGGGCUAAACUGUGCACCGAAGCUGCGGCAGCGACACUAUGUGUUGUUGGGUAGGGGAGCGUUCUGUAAGCCUGCGAAGGUGGCCUGUGAGGGUUGCUGGAGGUAUCAGAAGUGCGAAUGCUGACAUAAGUAACGAUAAUGCGGGUGAAAAGCCCGCACGCCGGAAGACCAAGGGUUCCUGUCCAACGUUAAUCGGGGCAGGGUGAGUCGACCCCUAAGGCGAGGCCGAAAGGCGUAGUCGAUGGGAAACAGGUUAAUAUUCCUGUACUUGGUGUUACUGCGAAGGGGGGACGGAGAAGGCUAUGUUAGCCGGGCGACGGUUGUCCCGGUUUAAGCAUGUAGGCGGAGGUUCCAGGUAAAUCCGGUACCUUUUUAACGCUGAGGUGUGAUGACGAGGCACUACGGUGCUGAAGUAACAAAUGCCCUGCUUCCAGGAAAAGCCUCUAAGCAUCAGGUAACAUUAAAUCGUACCCCAAACCGACACAGGUGGUCAGGUAGAGAAUACCAAGGCGCUUGAGAGAACUCGGGUGAAGGAACUAGGCAAAAUGGUGCCGUAACUUCGGGAGAAGGCACGCUGAUAUGUAGGUGAAGCCCCUGCGGGUGGAGCUGAAAUCAGUCGAAGAUACCAGCUGGCUGCAACUGUUUAUUAAAAACACAGCACUGUGCAAACACGAAAGUGGACGUAUACGGUGUGACGCCUGCCCGGUGCCGGAAGGUUAAUUGAUGGGGUUAUCCGUAAGGAGAAGCUCUUGAUCGAAGCCCCGGUAAACGGCGGCCGUAACUAUAACGGUCCUAAGGUAGCGAAAUUCCUUGUCGGGUAAGUUCCGACCUGCACGAAUGGCGUAAUGAUGGCCAGGCUGUCUCCACCCGAGACUCAGUGAAAUUGAACUCGCUGUGAAGAUGCAGUGUACCCGCGGCAAGACGGAAAGACCCCGUGAACCUUUACUAUAGCUUGACACUGAACAUUGAGCCUUGAUGUGUAGGAUAGGUGGGAGGCUUUGAAGCGUGGACGCCAGUCUGCGUGGAGCCAACCUUGAAAUACCACCCUUUAAUGUUUGAUGUUCUAACGUUGGCCCCUGACCGGGGUUGCGGACAGUGUCUGGUGGGUAGUUUGACUGGGGCGGUCUCCUCCCAAAGAGUAACGGAGGAGCACGAAGGUUAGCUAAUCCUGGUCGGACAUCAGGAGGUUAGUGCAAUGGCAUAAGCUAGCUUGACUGCGAGCGUGACGGCGCGAGCAGGUGCGAAAGCAGGUCAUAGUGAUCCGGUGGUUCUGAAUGGAAGGGCCAUCGCUCAACGGAUAAAAGGUACUCCGGGGAUAACAGGCUGAUACCGCCCAAGAGUUCAUAUCGACGGCGGUGUUUGGCACCUCGAUGUCGGCUCAUCACAUCCUGGGGCUGAAGUAGGUCCCAAGGGUAUGGCUGUUCGCCAUUUAAAGUGGUACGCGAGCUGGGUUUAGAACGUCGUGAGACAGUUCGGUCCCUAUCUGCCGUGGGCGCUGGAGAAUUGAGGGGGGCUGCUCCUAGUACGAGAGGACCGGAGUGGACGCAUCACUGGUGUUCGGGUUGUCAUGCCAAUGGCAUUGCCCGGUAGCUAAAUGCGGAAGAGAUAAGUGCUGAAAGCAUCUAAGCACGAAACUUGCCCCGAGAUGAGUUCUCCCUGAGACUUUAAGUCUCCUGAAGGAACGUUAAAGACGAUGACGUUGAUAGGUCGGGUGUGUAAGCGUAGCGAUACGUUGAGCUAACCGAUACUAAUGAACCGUGAGGCUUAACCUUACAACGCCGAAGCUGUU
rnacentral:rRNA from 1 species